CCUACGGGGGGCUGCAGUGGGGAAUAUUGGACAAUGGGGGGAACCCUGAUCCAGCCAUGCCGCGUGUGUGAAGAAGGCCCUCGGGUUGUAAAGCACUUUCAGUGAGGAAGAACACCUGGUGGUUAAUACCCAUCAGGAAAGACAUCACUCACAGAAGAAGCACCGGCUAACUCCGUGCCAGCAGCCGCGGUAAUACGGAGGGUGCGAGCGUUAAUCGGAAUUACUGGGCGUAAAGCGCGCGUAGGUGGCUUGAUAAGCCGGUUGUGAAAGCCCCGGGCUCAACCUGGGAACGGCAUCCGGAACUGUCAAGCUAGAGUGCAGGAGAGGAAGGUAGAAUUCCCGGUGUAGCGGUGAAAUGCGUAGAGAUCGGGAGGAAUACCAGUGGCGAAGGCGGCCUUCUGGACUGACACUGACACUGAGGUGCGAAAGCGUGGGUAGCAAACAGGAUUAGAUACCCGGGUAGUC
rnacentral:rRNA from 1 species